rnacentral:rRNA from 1 species
UACAGAGGUCCCGAGCGUUGUUCGGAUUUAUUGGGCGUAAAGGGUGCGUAGGCGGCGGAGUAAGUUGGGUGUGAAAUCCCGGGGCUCAACCUCGGAAUUGCAUUCAAUACUGCUCCGCUAGAGUACUGGAGAGGAGGCUGGAAUUUACGGUGUAGCAGUGAAAUGCGUAGAUAUCGUAAGGAAGGCCGGUGGCGAAAGCGGCGCGCUGGACCACUACUGACGCUGAGGAACGAAAGCUAGGGGAGCAAACAGG